UCGAGUUUUGAACGGGUUGUUGCUGGCCUCAUACGGGGCAUGUGCACGCCUGACUUCAUCCACUCUUCAACCUCUGUGCACUUAUUGUAGGCUAGCGUGAAAGGUCGCAUUCAUUUGCGGCUGGAAGCCUGCCUACGUUUUACUACAAACGCUUCAGUUAUAGAAUGUUUAUCUGCGUAUAACGCAUUUAUAUA
rnacentral:misc_RNA from 1 species